AAAAGAAAAGAAAAGAAAAGAAAAGAAAACCCAAAUGCAAAAUCGCGGUAUUUCGUUGGUAUUAUAGUUAAUGUUACUGAUGUAUUCCCUUUGAUAUGGCUAUGGAAUCUUCACUCUUUCGAAAACCUCUUCUUCUUUCCCACUCAGAGAAUCGCUUCAAUUUUGCGCCAUUUUUGAUCUGCUUGGUUAAUUAUUCUUCCUAGUAUCUGCUAGUA
rnacentral:misc_RNA from 1 species